AGAGUUUGAUCCUGGCUCAGGAUGAACGCUGGCGGCGUGCCUAAUACAUGCAAGUCGAGCGAGAACGGGGCUCUUAACAGAGCGCCAAGUAAAGCGGCGAACGGGUGAGUAACACGUAGGUGACCUGCCCCGGAGAGGGGGACAACCACCGGAAACGGUGGCUAAUACCCCAUAAGCUCACGGUCGUUAGAGGGGCGGUGAGAAAAGGGUGCGCACUUGAGUGCGUGCCGCUCCGGGAGGGGCCUGCGGCCCAUCAGCUAGCUGGUAGGGUAACGGCCUACCAGGGCGAAGACGGGUAGGGGGCCUGAGAGGGUGGUCCCCCACACGGGCACUGAGACACGGGCCCGACUCCUACGGGAGGCAGCAGUAAGGAAUAUUGCGCAAUGGGCGAAAGCCUGACGCAGCAACGCCGCGUGCCCGAUGAAGGCCUUCGGGUUGUAAAGGGCUUUUCUGGCUGACGAGGAAGGACGGUAGCCAGGAAUAAG
rnacentral:rRNA from 1 species